rnacentral:lncRNA from 1 species
CUUAAGUGAAUGUGGUUUCACUGUACUUAUGUAAAGGAUCAAUUAAGAUAAUCUUGGAUUAAUCCCAUUACACUCUUUGGUCUUGUUUAUGGCUUUCUUUGUUGUCAAAUUCACACAAACUGUGAAAAAACAGUAUCCUGUUUGUAGUAGCGUCAUUACCAUGUGCUACAGAAUUUCCUCCCCUGUAAAAAUGUAAAUAUAUCCUUUAUUGUGUCCCUCUGCUUACAGAUAUUCCAAAGAUUUUGUAUAAUGUUGCUUUAAAAAUAUUGUUCUUUAGGUUCUGAUUUUAUACAUCAAGGGUCGCCUUGAUAUGCUUCUGUGAAAUUUGUGGUGGUGCAAGCAAAAUAAACUUUCAGACUUAAUUUUUAGGAAUAUCAAGAUUUCUGGGAGGGAAUCUAACUUAGAAAUUUUAAUUCCUAAUGAAGAUUAAAAAAUGGGACUCUUGGUUAUCUGCUAUGAGUGAGUUUACCAAAUGAGACUGUACAAAGCACCCUAAAGUAAAGUGCACUUACCAUUUUCAGUUCAAAACUAUUAGCACAACAUUUAUGGGAUCAUAAAAGUACUUCUUGUUAAAAGAAUGCUUUGAUGAGCAAACCUGCUGAGAGCACUGAGAAGUACGGUAGUUUUGUAAUUUCAAGUCGAGCUGUGAUCAUAUUUUUGAUGUGUCAGUACGAAGUGGAGAAAUCUGUUUCAUUUCAAGAAAAAGUGCGUCUGAUUCAUUUUCACUCGGUCAAUUGCUGUGGCUAAUCCAGACGCAUUCUCAGCUUGCAGUCUUUCUUGCGUGUUGUGUUUUUUACACUUUUCCCUUAAAGGCAGGCCUGGAAAGUAGCGUUUUCUGUAGAUGUCAGCUUCUGUCUGGUGUGAUGCUCCAUUCUUCUGGUGAUGUCACGUGCAGCACUGAGUAAUACUGGAAAACUGAAGAGGUCUCUUAGAAUAAGGUGUCCACCUGCCAUUCAGUUUUGCAGUGGGAUCAUUUGUAUCACUUCACAAAUUGCUGAUGUUAGAAUUUGCUUACUUUUUGGUGGAUUCUGCUCAUGCUUCCAGCUGAUGUGAAUGUGGGAUCUCAGAAUAACAAGCCAUAAGGAAAAUCUUAUACAAAGGUCUUUAGAAUAAUGCUUUAUCUAUAGAUAUUUUUCAAUUUCAAAAUUUUGAAUUUUCAGUUCAAAAGAUUUUGAUUUUGAAUGUAGGGCAUCUAGUACACAUCCGUGUAAACUGGACAUAUGUUUUCAGUUUACAAAAAGGGGUGAACUAUGAAAAGUGAAAUAUUCAAGAAUAUUUGCCAGAAGUGUGAAAUACAAGUAUGGAUGGCUGCUAAAGUUUGAAUUAGUAGAAAUUAGUCAAAUCACUGUAUUAUCAAAAAGCACCAAUUUACCAGCACAUUUAAAAUAAAGCAGGUGAUACUGGCCUAGCUUUUCUAUAA